CAGUAGCCGCGGUAAUACGAAGGGGGCUAGCGUUGUUCGGAUUAACUGGGCGUAAAGGGCGCGUAGGCGGGUUUUUAAGUCAGAGGUGAAAUCCCAAGGCUCAACCUUGGAACUGCCUUUGAUACUGGAAGUCUUGAGUCCGGGAGAGGUGAGUGGAACUGCGAGUGUAGAGGUGAAAUUCGUAGAUAUUCGCAAGAACACCAGUGGCGAAGGCGGCUCACUGGCCCGGUACUGACGCUGAGGCGCGAAAGCGUGGGGAGCAAACAGGAUUAGAUACCCCCGUAGUCCCUGUCUCUUAUAC
rnacentral:rRNA from 1 species